rnacentral:rRNA from 1 species
GAUGAACGCUGACAGAAUGCUUAACACAUGCAAGUCAACUUGAACUUCGGUUUGGGUGGCGGACGGGUGAGUAACGCGUAAAGAACUUGCCUCACAGAUAGGGACAACAUUUGGAAAUGAAUGCUAAUACCUGAUAUUAUGAUUAUAUGGCAUCGUAUAAUUAUGAAAGCUAUAUGCGCUGUGAGAGAGCUUUGCGUCCCAUUAGCUAGUUGGAGAGGUAACGGCUCACCAAGGCGAUGAUGGGUAGCCGGCCUGAGAGGGUGAUCGGCCACAAGGGGACUGAGACACGGCCCUUACUCCUACGGGAGGCAGCAGUGGGGAAUAUUGGACAAUGGACCAAGAGUCUGAUCCAGCAAUUCUGUGUGCACGAUGAAGUUUUUCGGAAUGUAAAGUGCUUUCAGUUGGGAAGAAAAAAAUGACGGUACCAACAGAAGAAGUGACGGCUAAAUACGUG